rnacentral:rRNA from 1 species
UGGGGAAUCUUGGACAAUGGGGGCAACCCUGAUCCAGCCAUGCCGCGUGAGUGAUGAAGGCCUUAGGGUCGUAAAGCUCUUUCGCCUGUGAAGAUAAUGACGGUAGCAGGUAAAGAAACCCCGGCUAACUCCGUGCCAGCAGCCGCGGUAAUACGGAGGGGGUUAGCGUUGUUCGGAAUUACUGGGCGUAAAGCGCACGUAGGCGGACCAGAAAGUUGGGGGUGAAAUCCCGGGGGCUCAACCCCGGAACUGCCUCCAAAACUAUUGGUCUAGAGUUCGAGAGAGGUGAGUGGAAUUCCAAGUGUAGAGGUGAAAAUUCGUAGAUAUUUGGAGGAACACCAGUGGCGAAAGGCGGCUCACUGGCUCGAUAACUGACGCUGAGGUGCGAAAAGUGUGGGGAGCAAAACAGGAUUAGAUACCCUGGUAGUCCACACCGUAAAACGAUGAAAUGCCAGUCGUCGGGUAGCAUGCUAUUCGGUGAC